AAAAAAAUCUAUUUUCAUAUAUAUUUUAAUGCUUUUUUAGACAAUUGAAAAAUUAAAAACUAAGCUAUAUGCUGAGCAAUCAGUUUGCAGAAACUGGUAUUGACCAAUAAAGGAAAUGACGAUAUUCAAGGAAAUGUCGAUGUAGAAGAUAAGAAUGUUUAAUAUGUAUAGUGUAUUUCACAGUGAAUUUAUAAUUGACGAGAAUGGAAAUUUUAAAGAAGAGAUAAUUAAAGAAAUCAUGGGAUUAGUUUUAGAAGAAAGUGAUUUUAAUCAAUUAAUCACAAAAUAUUCAGCCAUUUGUAAAUAAAAAAUUAUUAUAAUGAAAUAACUAUUAUAAUGAAAUAAUACGAUUAUUAUAUAUUUUAAUUAUUACAUAUAAUUUUAAA